rnacentral:lncRNA from 1 species
AAUUUGCAAUAUAGUAAUUCUCCAAACAACACUACUCAAAAAACACUUCACCAAACUCUCAAACCUCAAUCGAUUCAGUAGCUAAACCAAUUCAAAGAUUUCAAUUCUGCUGCACAGAGAAUCUAUUUGAAAAUUUGCAAUAUAGUAAUUCUCCAAACAACACUACUCAAAAAACACUUCACCAAGCUCUCAAACCUCAAUCGAUUCAGUAGCUAAACCCUCCUGGCUAUUAUAUUGCAUAACUUCCAAAACAAACGCCUCUCACAUGUUCGACGAUAUUCCCCACAGAAUCCUACGACCAAUCGAAUACACAACAAAUAACACCACUUUCACAUUCAAAUCAUAUCCACGAAAACAAUAAAACAACCAACAUCAAUUUCCUCCUGGCCACCAUAU